rnacentral:rRNA from 1 species
AUUGAACGCUGGCGGAAUGCUUUACACAUGCAAGUCGAACGGCAGCACGGACUUCGGUCUGGUGGCGAGUGGCGAACGGGUGAGUAAUGUAUCGGAACGUGCCCAGUCGUGGGGGAUAACGUAGUGAAAAUUACGCUAAUACCGCAUACGAUCUAUGGAUGAAAGCGGGGGAUGGCAAGACCUCGCGCGAUUGGAGCGGCCGAUAUCAGAUUAGGUAGUUGGUGGGGUAAAGGCCCACCAAGCCAACGAUCUGCAGCUGGUCUGAGAGGACGACCAGCCACACUGGAACUGAGACACGGUCCAGACUCCUACGGGAGGCAGCAGUGGGGAAUUUUGGACAAUGGGCGGAAGCCUGAUCCAGCCAUUCCGCGUGCAGGAUGAAGGCCCUCGGGUUGUAAACUGCUUUUGUACAGAACGAAAAGGUUUCUACUAAUACUAGGAGCUCAUGACGGUACUGUAAGAAUAAGCACCGGCUAACUACGUGCCAGCAGCCGCCGUAA